rnacentral:lncRNA from 1 species
AAGGAGAAACUAAGAGUGGCUGAUCUAUACUAUCGUACACACGGUUUGGUAAUAGUUUAUAUAUGAUAUAUACUUUAUCUAUUUUGUUGAUAUAUUUGAUUAUGUUUUCGGAUCGGAUCGUGUCAAUACGUCGUUUUCACAUAUACGUGUAUGAGGCGUGACAUUUGUGUUAUCUGAUCCAGUUGCGAUGAUCGCAAUUUUGCGCUAGCAACGCCGUUGUUUUUUUUAAUUCAUUUUUUUUAUAUAUACAUAUAUUUAGAUCUGCAUAUUUUUUUUCAUAACUAACUACCCUGAUUUUUCCUAAACACUGAUAAUUUCGCCACAAACUCUAAAUUUCAAACCUAAAACUUUAACCGUGUUGUUUCCUCUAAACCAUAAACCUUUUCUUAAACCUUAACAAACCUUAUUAUUAUUUCCUAUUUUCACUCUUAUUUAUGUUAUUCAUACACUGUAACUGCUUCGCCCUUGUAAUAUUUUAAGUUUUAACUUGUAAUAUUUUCAGUUUUACUUUUCGCCAUCUUUAUUAUGUAACUGCACCAAAGCGUUGUAAUAAUUAGGAUUUUAUUUUCUGCCAUUUAUUUUCUGCCAUUUUAUUUUUCUGCCAUUUAUUUUUCUGCCAUUUAAAUUCCUGCCAUUGAUCCUAUAUUAACUGCGUGGUUUAGUAAUGUAGGGCGUGAAAACCUACUAAAUUAAUUAUUUAAUAUUUUUCUAUAACCUUUAUAUU